ACGGGUGAGUAAUGCCUAGGAAUCUGCCUGGUAGUGGGGGAUAACGCUCGGAAACGGACGCUAAUACCGCAUACGUCCUACGGGAGAAAGCAGGGGACCUUCGGGCCUUGCGCUAUCAGAUGAGCCUAGGUCGGAUUAGCUAGUUGGUGAGGUAAUGGCUCACCAAGGCGACGAUCCGUAACUGGUCUGAGAGGAUGAUCAGUCACACUGGAACUGAGACACGGUCCAGACUCCUACGGGAGGCAGCAGUGGGGAAUAUUGGACAAUGGGCGAAAGCCUGAUCCAGCCAUGCCGCGUGUGUGAAGAAGGUCUUCGGAUUGUAAAGCACUUUAAGUUGGGAGGAAGGGCAGUUACCUAAUACGUGAUUGUUUUGACGUUACCGACAGAAUAAGCACCGGCUAACUCUGUGCCAGCAGCCGCGGUAAUACAGAGGGUGCAAGCGUUAAUCGGAAUUACUGGGCGUAAAGCGCGCGUAGGUGGUUUGUUAAGUUGAAUGUGAAAUCCCCGGGCUCAACCUGGGAACUGCAUCCAAAACUGGCAAGCUAGAGUAUGGUAGAGGGUGGUGGAAUUUCCUGUGUAGCGGUG
rnacentral:rRNA from 3 species